GCCGAAGUGGUGGAAUUGGUAGACGCGCUGGCUUCAGGAGCCAGUGGGCGCAAGCCCGUGGGGGUUCGAGUCCCCCCUUCGGCA
rnacentral:tRNA from 3 species